AACGUAGGUGGCAAGCGUUAUCCGGAUUUACUGGGCGUAAAGGGUGUGCAGGCGGGGAAACAAGUGGUGGAUGAAAUCACCCGGCUUAACCGGGUGGGGUUAUGCCAGACUGUUUUUCUGGAGGACGAGAGAGGGGCGUGGAAUUCCGGGUGUAGUGGUGAAAUGCGUAGAGAUCAUGAGGAAGACCAGUGGCGAAGGCGGGUCUCUGGACAGUUCCUGACACUGAGGCGCGAAAGCGUGGGGAGCGAACAGG
rnacentral:rRNA from 1 species